rnacentral:rRNA from 1 species
UACGAAGGGGGCUAGCGUUGUUCGGAAUUACUGGGCGUAAAGCGUGCGCAGGCGGUUUGUUAAGUCCGCUGUGAAAUCCCCGAGCUCAACUUGGGAAUUGCAGUGGAUACUGGCAAGCUGGAGUACGGUAGAGGAAGGUGGAAUUCCCGGUGUAGCAGUGAAAUGCGUAGAGAUCGGGAGGAACACCAGUGGCGAAGGCGGAUCUCUGGGCCAUUACUGACGCUGAGGAGCGAAAGCGUGGGGAGCGAACAGG